UUCGCCAGGGAACAACGAGCAUCAGCUUAAAACCCAAAGGACUUGGCGGUGCUUUAGACCCACCUAGAGGAGCCUGUCCUAGAACCGAUAAUCCCCGUUUAACCUCACCCCCUCUUGUUCUUUUCCGCCUGUAUACCUCCGUCUUCAGCUCACCCUGUGAGGGCCUAGUAGUGAGCAAAAUUGGCAAUGCCUAAAACGUCAGGUCGAGGUGCAGCUUAUGAGGGGGGAAGAGAUGGGCUACAUUUUCUGCCCCAGAAAAUACGAAUUUUGCCCUGAAAAAGCAUCUGAAGGUGGAUUUAGCAGUAAGGAGAGACUAGAGCGCUCUCCUGAAGCCGGCCCUAAAGCGCGUACACACCGCCCGUCACUCUCCCCGAGACAUCCCACACCUAUUCAUAAUAAGUCAAAACACAAAGCAAGGGGAGGCAAGUCGUAACAUGGUAAGUGUACCGGAAGGUGUACUUGGACAAUAUCC
rnacentral:rRNA from 1 species